rnacentral:rRNA from 1 species
UACGUAGGGCGCGAGCGUUGUCCGGAAUUAUUGGGCGUAAAGAGCUCGUAGGCGGCUUGUUGCGUCUGCUGUGAAAUCCCGGGGCUUAACCCCGGGCGUGCAGUGGAUACGGGCAGGCUGGAGGCAGGCAGGGGAGAAUGGAAUUCCCGGUGUAGCGGUGAAAUGCGCAGAUAUCAGGAGGAACACCGAUGGCGAAGGCAGUGGUCUGGGCCGAUACUGACGCUGAGGAGCGAAAGCGUGGGGAGCGAACAGG